CAUUAUAACUACAGCUACAUUAUAACUACAGCUACAUUAUAACUACAGCUACAUUAUAACAACAGCUACAUUAUAACUCCAGCUACAUUAUAACUACAGCUACACUAUAACUAUAGCUACAUUAUAACCACAUCCUCUAUCUAUAACCUACAGUCGUAGCCAAAAGUUUUGAGAAUGACACAAAUAUACAUUUUCACAGUCUGCUGCUUCAGUUUGUAUGAUGGCAAUUUGCAUAUACUCCAAAAUGUUAGGAAGAAUGAUCAAAUGAAUUGCAAUUAAUUGCAAAGUCCCUCUUUUCCAUGCAAAUGAACUGAAUCCCCCCAAAAACAUUCCCACUGCAUUUCAGCCCUGCCACAAAAGGACACAGGUGUGAAUGUUGACGCGGACAAUGCUGGAGAUCACUCUGUCAUGCUGAUUGAGUUUGAAUAACAGACUGGAAGCUUCAAAAGGAGGGUGGUGCUUGGAAUCAUUGUUCUUCCUCUGUCAAACAUGGUUACCUGCAAGGAAACACGUGCCGUCAUCAUUGCUUUGCACAAAAAGGGCUUCACAGGCAAGGAUAUUACUGCCAGUAAGAUUGCAUAUACUCCAACUGUUGUGAAGAAGGCUUCAGGGCAACCAAGAAAGUCCAGCGAGCGCCAGGACCAUCUCCUAAAGUUGAUUCAGCUGCUGGAUCGGGGCACCACCAGUACAGAGCUCAGGAAUGGCAGCAGGCAGGUGUGAGUGCAUCUGCAUCAGGUGUGAGGCGAAGACUUUUGGAGGAAGGCCUGGUGUCAAGAAGGGCAGCAAAGAAGCCACUUCUCUCCAGGAAUAAAUCAGGGACAGACUGAUAUUCUGCAAAAGGUACAGAGAUUGGACUGCUGAGGACUAGGGUAAAGUCAUUUUCUCUGAUGAAUCCCCUUUCCGAUUGUUUGGGGCAUCCGGAAAAAAGCUUGUCCGGAGAAGACAAGGUGAGUGCUACCAUCAGUCCUGUGUCAUGCCAACAGUAAAGCAUCCUGAGAACAUUCAUGUGUGGGGUUGCUUCUCAGCCAAGGGAGUGGGCUCACUCACAAUACUGCCUAAGAACACAGCCAUGAAUAAAGAAUGGUACCAACACAUCCUCCAAGAGCAACUUCUCCCAACCAUUCAGGAACAGUUUGGUUACGAACAAUACCUUUUCCAGCAUGAUGGAGCACCUUGCCAUAAGGCAAAAGUGAUAACUAAGUGGCUCGGGGAACAAAACAUAGAUAUUUUGGGUCCAUGGCCAGGAAACUCCCCAAACCUUAAUCCCAUUGAGAACAAUCCUCAAGGGGCGGGUGGACAAUGUCACACCCUGACCUUAGUUAUCUUUGUUUUCUUUAUUAUUUUGGUUAGGUCAGGGUGUGAUGAGGGUGGUAUGUGUGUCUCUGGUUUGUUGUACAUCUAUGGGGAUUUGGUUUGUCUAGGUAAAUGUAGGUCUAUGGUGGCCUGAAUUGGUUCCCAAUCAGAGGCAGCUGUUUGUUGUUGUCUCUGAUUGGGGAUCCUAUUUAGGUUGCCAUUUUCCAUUUUGGUCUAUGUGUAGUUGCAUGUCAGCACUCGUUAUUAUUAGCUUCACGUUGGUUUUGUUAUUUUGUUAGUUUGUUUAGUGUUCUUCGUGUUCUUCGUAAAUAAAGAAGAAUGUAUUCAAAUCACGCUGCGCCUUGGUCUCAUCGUUACGACGAACGUGACAGACAAACAAAAACCCACAAAUUCUGUUAAACUCCAAGCAUUAAUUAUGCAAGAAUGGGCUGCCAUCAGUCAGGAUGUGGCCCAGAAGUUAAUUGGCAGCAUGCCAGGGCGGAUUGCAGAGGUCUUGAAAAAGAAGGGUCAACACUGCAAAUAUUGACUCUUUGCAUCAACUUCAUAUAAUUGUCAAUAAAAGCCUUUGACACUUAUGAAAUGCUUGUAAUUAUACUUCAGUAUUCCAUUGUAACAUCUGACAAAAAUAUCUAAAGACACUGAAGCAGCAAACAUGUGAAAAUUAAUAUUUGUGUCAUUCUCAAAACUUUUGGCCAUGACUGUAUGUUAGAAUAUUUAAAUGUUCAAUGGGAUUUCUCUCUGUCCAUCAUUUCUAUUUCAUUUUUCUGUGUCUUCUGUUGCUGUCUCUUUCAUCCUCCAUGCUGUCUCUACUGAUAUGCUCCCUCAGAGCGCUGGUUCCAUAUUUCACCAUAUCUAGUGAGAUGUGUUGUAUUUGCCCAGGCCUAAUAUGAAGGAAGAAACCCCAUGGGGGGGAAGGAGAGACAUUGACAGAGACAUAAAGAGAAGAGAGAGAGAGACAGGGCUCGGUGAUAUGAGAAAAAUAUCAUAUCACAAUAUUUUUCGACGUUUUGACGGUAUGAGGGUAUUUGAACCCUGUUUUUCUUGAUAUCCAAUUGCGAUCCAAUUACUAUCUUGUCUCAUUGCUGCAACUCCCCAACGGGCUCGGGCUCGGGAGAGGCGAAGGUCGAGUCAUGCAUCCUCUGAAACAUGACCCGGCAAGCCUCGCUCCUUAACACCCUCCAGUUUAACCCGGGAACCCAGCCCUACCAACGUGUCGGAGGAAACACCGUUCAACUGACGACCGAAGUCAGCUUGCAGGCGACCAGCCCGCCACAAGGAGUCGCUAGAGCGCGAUGAGCCAAGUAAAUGACAAAGCAAAAACUGUUUUUUAUAAUUGUUUGUAAAUGUAUCAACAAAAAAAACUUGAAAUAUGACAUUUACCUAAGUAUUCAGACCCUUUACUCAGUACUUUGUUGAAGCACCUUUAGCUACGAUUACAUCCACGAGUCUUCUUGGGUAUGACGCUACAAGCUUGGCACAUCUCUAUCUGGGGAGUUUCUCCCAUUCUUCUCUGUAGAUCCUCUCAAGCUCUGUCAGGUUGGAUGAGGAGCGUUGCUGCAUAGCUAUUUUCAGGUCUCUCCAGUUAUGUUCAAUAUCCAUCUGGCCACUCAACCAUAAAGACCUGAUUGGUGGAGUGUUGCAAAGAUGGUUGUCCUUCUGGAAUGUUCUCCCAUCUCCACAGAGGAACUCUGGAGCUCUGUCAGAGUGACCAUCAGGGCCCUUCUCCACGGAUUGCUCAGUUUGGCCGGGCGGCCAGCUCUAGGAAGAGUCUUGGUGGUUCCAAACGUCUUCCAUUUAAGAGUAAUGGAGGCCACUGUGUUCUUGGGGACCUUCAUUAUUGCAGAAAUUUGUUGGUAACCUUCCCCAGACCUGUGCCUUGACACAAUCCUGUCUCAGAGAUCUACGGACAAUUCCUUCGACCUCAUGGCUUCAAUUUGGCUCUGACAUGCACUGAUACCUGACAUGCACUGGGAACUUAUAUAGACAGGUUUGUGCCUUGCCAAAUAAUGUCCAAUCAAGGCUGCAUGAUCGAAUCCUACCCUGUGGGGCUCUGUGGAGGAGUCUGCAUGAUAGAUUCCUACCCUGUGGAAAGUCUGUGGAGGAGUCUGCAUGAUAGAUUCCUACCCUGUGGAAACUCUGUGGAGGAGUCUGCAUGAUAGAUUCCUACCCUGUGGAAACUCUGUGGAGGAGUCUGCAUGAUAGAUUCCUACCCUGUGGAAACUCUGUGGAGGAGUCUGCAUGAUAGAUUCCUACCCUGUGGAAACUCUGUGGAAGAGUCUGCAUGAUAGAUUCCUACCCUGUGGAAACUCUGUGGAAGAGUCUGCAUGAUAGAUUCCUACCCUGUGGGGCUCUGUGGAGGAGUCUGCAUAAUAGAUUCCUACCCUAUGGGGCUCUGUGGAGGAGUCUGCAUGAUAGAUUCCUACCCUGUGGGGCUCUGUGGAGGAGUCUGUAUGAUAGAUUCCUACCCUAUGGGGCUCUGUGGAGGAGUCUGCAUGAUAGAUUCCUACCCUGUGGAACUCUGUGUCUGAUAAAUUGUGCUGUUUCAAAGGUCAAACAGCAUCUGCAGAGCAGCACUUCUAUUACUUGCCUCCCAUCCACCACCCUCUUCCUCCUCUCACUCCUCUCACUCCUCUAUUACUGUCAUCCCAACACCUUCCUCUCCUCCAUCACUCUCACUCCCAAUCAGCCAGGGAGGGGUGAGAGGGGACAGACCCUGGUGGAGCUAUGCACCACCCCACCCCUAUACCUCUGUCUCAGCCCUCCUUAACCCUGCACCCCAUCCAUCCACAUCCCUAACUCAAAGCCGGCCUAGACAGUGUUAACACACACACACACACACACACACACACAGGUUUAAUAAAUCAGCCUGGUGCUAAUGGAGCUGAGGGGGUCUUGUAAAGAGGGAUCACAUUUCUACUCUCGCUGCUGCCGCUAUAUUGAUAGUGUGCAUGUGUCCAUGUAUUAAUAGCCCAUGGCUUUGCAGUGUCCGCCAGGCUAGUGUCAGAGCAGGUGAUAUAUGGGUGGCCAACUGGUGAUGGGGACCUUCUUCUGUGAUGUAUGUGUCUGUUGUGAUGAAGAUGUAGGGUGUGUGUGUGUGUGUGUGUGUAUGUGUGCGUGCGUGCGUACGUGUGCGUGUGUGUAUUCCAUUCUAUAUUGUAUUCUAUCCAUGCCUAAUCUGCACCUCUGAUUUACAAAGACACAGCAGCUAGAGCCUGCAUGCAGCCACAGCCUCUGGCUCAAAGACAUCUCAGUGUUUUUUACUUCCCUAUCUACAGUGGUGUAAAGUACUUCAAAUAAAAAAUACUUUAAAGUACUACUCCAAUAGUUUUUUGGGGGUAUCUGUACUUUACUUUACUAUUUAUAUUUUUGACAACUUUUACUUCACUACAUUACUAAAGAAAAUAAUGUGGGGCGGCAGGGUAGCCUAGUGGUUAGAGAGUUGGACUAGUUAACAAAAGGUUACAAGUUCAAAUCCCCGAGCUGACACGGCACAAAUCUGUCAUUCUGCCCCUGAACAGGGUGUUCCUAGGCUGUCAUUGAAAAUAAGAAUUUGUUCUUAAUUGACUUUCCUGGUUAAAUAAAGAUAUAAAAAUGUGUUUUUUACUCCAUACAUUUUCCCUGACACACAAAAGUCCUCCAGUAUUUGGAAUGCUUAGCAGGACAAGAAAAGGUUGUAAUUCAUUCACUUAUCAAGAUAGCAUCCCAGGGCCCUCAUUUAUCAAUGUUGUGUAUGAACAGACAUGUUUGUAAACCAUGCGUGCCAGAAUGUCUAAGCAAAGUGUGGAAGUUAUCCGUUUGUACUUAUACUUGAGAAUGUGCGUACAUUUAAGCACACCUCUUGACCAUGAGUACCCACAGCACCUUGUUGUAGAAAAGUCAAACGUCUAAUGAAAAACCAUCCACCAAAUGGAGAAAGGAUUGACAUACUGGACCAAAUCAUCAACUAUGAAGAAAAAAGAUAUCACAUGAAUAGUUCAUUAAUGUAUUUCUUUUAUAGACACUUAAGUUGCUAAUAGUUUUCUCAGGGGUGUUGACGAAUUCAUAAACAUGAAACCAUUUAAGCCGAAUUGAAUAAUAAAGUCAAUUUGAAAGAGAGUGGAAUGUAAGGUCGGAGGCAAUUGAGUUAAACCAGUUAAAUAACAUAAAAGGCAACACUGAGGCGUUGUGACUUGGUGGAGGAUCUGACACAAGCUGCAUUACACAGGGAGAGUGUUUUCAAUGAGCGUGCAGAUUUAUUUUUGCUGACUUGCGACGCUUGGUUUAUUAGUAGAUGUAGUUUUCCAGGGCAUGUUUUAUUGUAUCGCUGCGACCAACUCUCUCCAGUAUUAGAAAGGGAGACGAAACGCACCAAUACCAACCCAGUGCAAACCCAAGUCCUCUCCACCCUGGGAUUUAUGGCCACUGGAACAUUCCAACGGGUAGAUUGCGGAUCGAUCUGGCAUUUCACAACCAACCAUGAGCCGGAUAUUUCCUGCAGUCCUUCGUGGUAUUAUUUAAUUGACCCCCACAAUACAUACAGUUUCCUUCACUGCUGUGCAACAGGCCAGAGUGAAAAGGGAUUUCUGGAUUUACAAAAGUCGCAGGAACAAUUGACUGCAUCCACAUCACAAUAAAAGCACCAUCAUUGAACGAAUUGAACUUAGUCAACAGAAAAGGUUUCCAUUCUGUCAACGUGCAGGUCAUCUGUGAUUCACAUUUGGCUUUGUUGAAUGUGGUGGCCAGAUGGCCAGGUGGGACACAUGAUUCAUUCAUUGUGCAGAACAGCUCAGUUGGGCCUUAACCUCCAGGAAGGAUCUGUUGAGGACGGACGGCUCAUUGGUAAGUGACUUGUUUUAUUUGCAAGGUUUUAUUGUUAGACCUCUACUGGGAAACAAUAUCUGAAUGUUGUGUUCAUAACUGCAGGAGACCUAUGAACAACAUGGCUGCUGACUCACAAACCCCUCAAGCCAACAAGAGGCCAGGUACAACCAAGCCCACACACACACCAGAACAACAGUGGAGCGCACCAUAGGCCUGCUGAAAGGGCGUUGUGCUUGUCUGGGACAGGAGACACACUGCAAUACCAGCAUAGCAAAGUUUGCCUCUGAAAUGAUAUUCCUUCAAAUGCCAUUACGUGAAUGUAAUACAAUGUGCAUAAUUCCUUUUUAGGUUUGCUACAUUGUCAAGGCUUGCAGUGUGCUCCACAACAUUACAAUCAAAAAUGGCAUUCCACUGAAUGAUCCACUCAGACCCGGUGAGCCCAUGCCUGACAGGGAGUGUUUCCCACCACCCAUAGCUCUGGCACUGAGGACCAGAGUCAACAUCAUACAACGCUUUUAGGACUGCGUCAGACAAAACAUAGCGGAGCAGCUGAAGCGCUCGCCAAAGAGGACACCCUUCUGGUAGGCCUGGGGCAGAGGGGUCAGAGGACACCCUUCUGGUAGGCCUGGGGCAGAGGAGUCAGAGGACCCCCUUCUGGUAGGCCUGGGGAUGAGGGGUCAGAGGUCACCCAUCUGGUAGGCCUGGGGCAGAGGGGUCAGAGGACACCCUUCUGGUAGGCCUGGGGCAGAGGGGUCAGAGGACACCCUUCUGGUAGGCCUGGGGCAGAGGGGUCAGAGGACACCCUUCUGGUAGGCCUGGGGAUGAGGGGUCAGAGGACACCCUUCUGGUAGACCUGGGACUGAGGGGUCAGAGGACCCCCUUCUGGUAGGCCUGGGACUGAGGGGUCAGAGGACCCCCUUCUGGUAGGCCUGGGGCAGAGGGGUCAGAGGACACCCUUCUGGUAGGCCUGGGGAUGAGGGGUCAGAGGACACCCUUCUGGUAGGCCUGGGGCAGAGGGGUCAGAGGUCACCCUUCUGGUAGGCCUGGGGCAGAGGGGUCAGAGGACCCCCUUCUGGUAGGCCUGGGGCAGAGGGGUCAGAGGACACCCUUCUGGUAGGCCUGGGGCAGAGGGGUCAGAGGACACCCUUCUGGUAGGCCUGGGGCAGAGGGGUCAGAGGACACCCUUCUUGUAGGCCUGGGGCAGAGGGGUCAGAGGACACCCUUCUGGUAGGCCUGGGGAUGAGGGGUCAGAGGACACCCUUCUGGUAGGCCUGGGACUGAGGGGUCAGAGGACACCCUUCUGGUAGGCCUGGGACUGAGGGGUCAGAGGACCCCCUUCUGGUAGGCCUGGGGAUGAGGGGUCAGAGGACACCCUUCUGGUACGCCUGGGGCAGAAGGGUCAGAGGACACCCUUCUGGUAGGCCUGGGGCAGAGGGGUCAGAGGACCCCCUUCUGGUAGGCCUGGGACAGAGGGGUCAGAGGACACCCUUCUGGUAGGCCUGGGACUGAGGGGUCAGAUGACCCCCUUCUGGUAGGCCUGGGACUGAGGGGUCAGAGUACCCCCUUCUGGUAGGCCUGGGGAUGAGGGGUCUGGCAAAUCACCCACAUCUGUCAAGAUUUCAUGUUUUGUAAUUUUUGUUAUAUUAAUUUUGUAACAUUUAUUUAGUUACAUAUAUUUGUUAUAUUUAUUGUCAAGAAAAAAUAUUGAGAUGUGGUCCAUGUCUGAAGAUGGUUGUGAAAAUAAAGCUUGACUUACCAUCA